ensembl:snRNA U1 U1 spliceosomal RNA
AUACUUACCUGGCAGGGGUGACACCAUGAUCAAGCAGGUGGUUUGCCCAAGGAGAGGCUCUGUCAUUGCACGCUGACCGUGCUGACCCUUGUGAAUUCCCCAAAUGUGGGAAUCUCAACUGCAUAAUUUGUGGUAGUGGGGGACUGCGUUCGCGCUCUCCCCUG